CCCCACUCACCAUCACAGGCAUAGAUCAUUUUCAGCAGCAAAUUCAAAACAACAGUAUUUCACAAAUAAAACUUAACCUAAUUACUCUUUAUUUCA